UGUGCAGCAGGAGCAGGAGCAACAGGGCAGGCUCUAGCCCCUGGUCCUGCUGCCCCGAGAGAAGGAUGCUUUCAACUACAGAGACCCAGUGGUACAGCACCCAAUAGAAGUUUGCAGAUGUGACAGUGAUCAGUGGAGACCUGGUGCAAGGUUUCUAGAAAGGACUUCAAACACCAUGUUUAAUUUCCUAGUGCUGUAAAGCUGGAAAUUCAAACUUCCAUCAACACAUUCGCAUGGUCUCAUAAGGGGCAGAGAUGAAGCUGUGUGUCCUCGUUAGCACCUGUGGAUGCACGGCAGUGAUUAUGUCCCAUGAUGCUGGAGCAAUAUUGGGGCAACCCAGUGUACGGCGCUGGCUGGAAGGAGCGAUGUGGAGCACCAAGAAGAGGUUUUCCAGCCCUCGGACCUGCCCCGGUCACCCCAGUUCUUGCAGUGAAGCAUGGGCAGGCUGUCUGGGGCUGGCAGGUGUGCUGACACAUCCCAAAGGCACACCAUGCGAGCUGGGUGCUGGCUGCCCCGAGAAGCGGCAGACGGUUAACAGGAGGCACGUUUGCCCCGCUUGUUUCUCCCUCCCAGUGGAGCUGCAGUGACUGAAUCGUCGCACAUCCAGCUCUGUUGUGUGAAUGUCUCUGCUCUUGUCCUUCCUAACCCCGACUUGUUGAUCGCAGAUCAGCGGUAAGUACCACUGGAAGUGCUUCGUGCUGAAACUGUUGCUGUUUCCACUUAUUUUACACUUGAUUAUAGAUGAUGUAGAGUUUUGUUGUUGAUUUUUUUUUUUACAUCUGUGACUUGUCAGAACUCCUUGUCACAUCUCCGAGUGCCAAUAAACAUGAAGUCUGCAUCCAUCAGUCACUUCUUGUAGCUUGUCUUCCCUUGAGAGCCUGAUUCAGAGUCCGCUGAAGUCAACGUGAGUCUUCCCAUUGAUUCCAGUGGGUGGUAAGUCAAGCUCUUCUCCAGACUGAGAUGGCAGGCGCUGUCUUUGAAUUGGUUUGGAGUGUUGCACACCUAGUGUGGUGGGACCCUGAUUCAUCUUGGGGCAGCCAAGAGCUAUUGCAACGGUGAAGUCAUCCUAAAUAAAUACAGAUGAAAUCCUUUCUCAUAAGACAGCUUUUUUUUUUCAUGGUGGUGAAGAAGACACAGAAAAUGCCUCUGAGAGGCACGCAGACUGUAUGCGCUCCUGUGUGGUUUUUAUUCAGGCAGUUUAGGAAGUGGGACAAGGAGUAUGGAGCAUGGGGAAGAUGCUGGAUAGCAUGCAUUUGGUAAAGACAGUUAAGGUUGAUAGGGGUGGUUGUAUGCAUCUCUGGUUGCUCCACUCUGGUGUUUGUUUCCAGAGCUUCAUAGUGCAGUACAGUGUCACAUUAACAUAGCCUACAGAGGAGUUAAGGGUGGCUUUUAUCCUCUGCUGACUAAUGUGCUGCAGCCAGAUGGAAUAGUAAAAUCUCUUCUUACACACAACAAAGCCAAAACAAAUAUUGUGCAAUGAUUAAGUGGCAACCCAAACAGAAGCAGGCAUCCUGUGGCUGAAACAGGAAAUCUUGGGUUACAAACCUCAAAAUAUGUUAAUUUAAUUCGAUUAUAUAUUUGAUGACUAUCUUAAGUGGCCCAUGAAUAAUUGAAAAUUAGAAAAGCUGUUGUUUGCCUUUAAAAUCAGCCUGUGGAAGGUAGGAACUGAAUGUUUAGGAACAUAAUUACUGUUUGCAUGGGUCAUGUGAGAGGUCCCCCACAGCCUACGACUGUCCCUGGCAGUGACAGUAGCAGGAGUAGUGAAUGUGGAAUUUCCCCAAGUGUGGCUCCAUUAGUGCCGUAUCACAAAUUAAGUAAGGAUGCUUGCACUUGGUCUGUCUGAGCUGUGUGAGGAAUCAUCUCAUGCUCAUGGGGAUGUGUCUGCAGAUUGGGUGCCUCCAUUUUGGAAGGCAGCACGGUGUGCUGAUCUGCAGCUCCAUCCCACCACGCGUGCUGUGUGCAGCCUGGCUGAGGGGCAUGGUGGCUUCCCACAGUGCUCCAUGGCUGGAAGCCACUAAGAGCCAUGUCACUGGCUGGCAGCAGCCCCCAAAGCUGCUCUUGAAGGUGAACCCAAGUGCCUGCUGUGCUCUGCCCUUGCUCUGGAGGAGGAAGAAUGAAGCUUUGCCCUCAUCUGUGGCUGAGAUGGGAGAGGAGCCUCCUGAAAUUCAGGUGGGUGCCGCUUUCCUCAAUUACGUGGUGUACCCAUGGUCUGAACAGGGGGUGACAACAGGGCCAAGCUUCUCCUGCUCUGCCCUCACCAAGUGUGCCAAGAUGUUGGACAAAGAGCAAGUCUGGGCUGCUGUGCCUGCUGGUGGGAGGGCAAGAGGGCAGGGCAAGCCCCAUGGAAAGUGUGGGGCCGUGAUGGGGUCAGGUGCCGGCAUUUCAGCUGGAGAACUGAGGACAGCAUGGCAUGCUUGUCCUGCAGUAAAACCACACAGCUCGGCCUGGGGCACGCAGCAGCUGACGGCUGUGCACGCUUGCUUACUGAGGAGGGGUCUGAAAUGGAAGGGGUGAGCUGACAGUGACUACUUGCUGUCAUCAGGGUCAAAGCCAAGAUAAAGGGAGAACAAGGAAGAUGGGCAAAGAGUCAUUUUUAAAAUAAAAUAAAAACAAACUUUUAUUUGCCUGGGCCUUUGAAGAAGCACAAUGACCUGAGGCACAGAACGCAUUAUUUACCUCAGGAAGCGAUCAUGAAUUAUACAGAAAGUUGUCCAGGAGCCCCUCUGGAGCUGUGACCUGUGGUGAUUUGUGAACAGAGAGCGCGCUCGUGGCGGGUUGCUCUCAGUUGCAGUCAGUGUCACACCCCACGGGCUCUAAUGGAGAGACACUGGCUUCCAACAGCUGAAGAUCUGACCUUAGGAGUAACUGAGAGGUAAAAGCAAGUAGAUAGAGAACAAAAGCCUAUCUUUAGCAUACUUUAAAGUUCUUAACCUAGAUACAAAGCAUAGCUAUAAAUGAAAAGACAGCCCUAGAAUUUUAGUUUAAACCAAACAAAAUUGACUGGUUAUAGAAAAAGUCUUGUUUACUGCUGAGCUUCAGUUUUACAUUCUCAAAUGUAA